AAGCACUUCUCGAGCCGGUCAUCGAUCUGAGGACAGUUUAUGUGCUCCAUCUGUCUCGAUAUCUUCACCGAACCAGUCAGCACACCAUGCGGACACAACUUCUGCCAAAAAUGUAUCGGGGAGCACUGGGAAGAUGACGUCAGGUGUCAGUGCCCCAUCUGCAAUAAGACCAUCCCUCUUCCCUGUUAUGAACGAUGACCAAAGAGAAAGUCCGUAUUGCCCAGCGACAGCCCCGAAACCUGAAGGAUCUGGAGAAGAUCUGUAUGGAGGAGUGGGCCAAAAUCCGUGCUGCAGUGUGUGCAAACCUGGUCAAGAACUACAGGAAACGUCUGAUCUCUGUAAUUGCAAACAAAGAUUCCAUCACUCACAGUUGAAGAGUACCUACGAUAAAAAUUACAGACUUCUACAUGCUUUUCAAGUGGGAAAACCUGCAAAAUCGGCAGUGUAUCAAAUACUUGUUCAC